rnacentral:rRNA from 1 species
UACAGAGGUCCCAAGCGUUGUUCGGAUUCACUGGGCGUAAAGGGUGCGUAGGUGGUCGGGUAAGUCCGAUGUGAAAUCUCCAGGCUCAACCUGGAAAUGGCAUUGGAUACUAUCCGGCUUGAGGAGUGGAGGGGGGACUGGAAUUCUCGGUGUAGCAGUGAAAUGCGUAGAUAUCGAGAGGAACACCAGUGGCGAAGGCAGGUCUCUGGGCCACUACUGACGCUGGAGAAGCGAAAGCAUGGGGAGCGAACAGG